GAUGAACGCUAGCGACAGGCUUAACACAUGCAAGUCGAGGGGCAGCGGUGACGAAGGCUUGCCUUCGUCAGCCGGCGACCGGCGCACGGGUGAGUAACACGUAUGCAACCUGGCCGUCACAGGAGGAUAAUCGGGAGAAAUUCCGCCUAAUACUCCAUAACACACCGCAGGGACAUCCCUGGGGUGUCAAAGGAAGCGAUUCCGGUGACGGAUGGGCAUGCGGCGCAUUAGCUAGUCGGCGGGGUAACGGCCCACCGAGGCGACGAUGCGUAGGGGUUCUGAGAGGAAGGUCCCCCACACUGGAACUGAGACACGGUCCAG
rnacentral:rRNA from 1 species